ensembl:snRNA U1 U1 spliceosomal RNA
GUAGCUACCUGGCAGGGGAGGACCAUGAUCAGAAGGUGGUUCUCCCAGGGCGAGCUUGUCCCUUGCGCUCCAGGUGUGCGGACUCCUGCCAUUUCCCCAUGGGAAACGUGACGGAUCACUUAUGGUAGUGGGGGACUGCGUUCGCACUCUCCCCUG